rnacentral:rRNA from 1 species
AGAGUUUGAUCUUGGCUCAGGAUGAACGCUGGCGGCGUGCCUAAUACAUGCAAGUCGAGCGAAUCGAUUAAGAGCUUGCUCUUAUGAAGUUAGCGGCGGACGGGUGAGUAACACGUGGGUAACCUGCCCAUAAGACUGGGAUAACUCCGGGAAACCGGGGCUAAUACCGGAUAAUAUUUUGAACUGCAUGGUUCGAAAUUGAAAGGCGGCUUCGGCUGUCACUUAUGGAUGGACCCGCGUCGCAUUAGCUAGUUGGUGAGGUAACGGCUCACCAAGGCAACGAUGCGUAGCCGACCUGAGAGGGUGAUCGGCCACACUGGGACUGAGACACGGCCCAGACUCCUACGGGAGGCAGCAGUAGGGAAUCUUCCGCAAUGGACGAAAGUCUGACGGAGCAACGCCGCGUGAGUGAUGAAGGCUUUCGGGUCGUAAAACUCUGUUGUUAGGGAAGAACAAGUGCUAGUUGAAUAAGCUGGCACCUUGACGGUACCUAACCAGAAAGCCACGGCUAACUACGUGCCAGCAGCCGCGGUAAUACGUAGGUGGCAAGCGUUAUCCGGAAUUAUUGGGCGUAAAGCGCGCGCAGGUGGUUUCUUAAGUCUGAUGUGAAAGCCCACGGCUCAACCGUGGAGGGUCAUUGGAAACUGGGAGACUUGAGUGCAGAAGAGGAAAGUGGAAUUCCAUGUGUAGCGUGAAAUGCGUAGAGAUAUGGAGGAACACCAGUGGCGAACGCGACUUUUUGGUCUGUAACUGACACUGAGGCGCGAAAGCGUGGGGGAGCAAACAGGAUUAGAUACCCUGGUAGUCACGCGUAAACGAUGGGUGCUAAGUGUAGGCGUUUCCGCCUUUAAUGCUGAAGUUAACGCAUUAAGACUCCGCCUGGGAGUACGGCGAAGUGAACUUAAAGAUGCCGGGGCCGACAGCGUGAACCAUGGCUUAAUCCAGGCCGGAAACCUAUCUGGCUUGAAUUCUUUGGAACUUAAGAUAGGUUCUCUCGAACAAUGACGGGUCAUGUUUCCAACUGUCCGGAAUUGGUAAUCCCACAGAGUGAAUCCUG